rnacentral:rRNA from 1 species
GACAGAGGUGCCGAGCGUUAGGCGGAAUCACUGGGCUUAAAGCGUGUGUAGGCGGGUCGUUAAGUACCUUGUGAAAUCCCCCGGCUCAACCGGGGGAACUGCUGGGUAUACUGGCGAUCUUGAGCCACCUAGGGGCAGUCGGAACAAGUGAUGGAGCGGUGAAAUGCGUAGAUAUCACUUGGAACGCCAAUGGUGAAAACAGACUGCUGGGGGUGUGCUGACGCUGAGACACGAAAGCCAGGGGAGCGAACGGG